UUUAUGCUUAUUCCGUCCAACAAAGAAUGUCUCAGUUUUGACUAAAUUUGAAUGCACCAAGUUUGUCAAAAUUUGGAUGUAUCUAGACAUGACUUAGUGUAUAGAUGCAUUUAAAUUUACUCAAAGUUGAGACAUCCUUUGUUGGACAGAGGGAGUACUAA
rfam:Brachypodium distachyon strain Bd21 chromosome 2, whole genome shotgun sequence.